GGAGUCUGGAAGGCCCUAGAGCGGCGCCAGUCGACCCGCCUCGCCACAACUUGCCCAGACCAGACACGUUUCAUCCUGCGCCCUGCAAGAAGGAGCCGGCCUGCCUCUCUCCGCUUUGCUGCUCCUCGGCCUCCGCGGGCCCGGCCCGCGUCAGCAGCGACCCUGGGGUCUGGGUCCCCUGUGUCGCCCCCGCCCGCCUGCAGCGCCCGGCACCCGCCCAGGAGCGCGCAGCUGGGGUUCUAGGGACGUAUACUUGAGCAAGAGAGACCACAGCUCUUGUUCCCGCUGAUCCUGCAGCCCAGUGGAUGGAGUCCAGAAUCUACAGACCUGCCAGGUCGGUGUCUUGAUGCUCUUAAACAGAUGGAGGAAGCUAAGUCUUAGAGCUGACAAUUUGUUCUAGAUCAGGGAGCAAGUAAGUGACAGAAUCAAACUUUGAAACUAUUUAUGUCUUUAGCACUUUUUAUGCCUGGUUGCAGGGAAUAAAGGCCAAUUAAC
rnacentral:lncRNA from 10 species